CCCCCUUUAGCGGCGGACUGGUGAGUAACGCGUGGGUGACCUACCUUAAGGAUGGGGAUAGCCGAUAGAAAUAUCGGGUAAUACCGAAUAAUGUUGUCGAGUUAUGACUUGAUAAAGAAAGGGGCUAUGGCCCCGCCUAUAGAUGGGCUCGCGUUCCAUUAGCUAGUUGGUGAGGUAAAGGCCCACCAAGGCGAUGAUGGGUAGCCGGCCUGAGAGGGUGAACGUGCCACACUGGGACUGAGAUACGGCCCAGACUCCUACGGGAGGCAGCAGCUAAGAAUAUUCCGCAAUGGACGAAAGUCUGACGGAGCGACGCCGCGUGGAUGAGGAAGGCCGACAAGGUUGUAACAAUUCUUUUGCGGACUGAAGAAUAAGGAGAGGAGGGAAUGCCUUUCUGAUGACGUUAGUCCAGAUGAAUAAGCCCCGGCUAAUUAC
rnacentral:rRNA from 1 species